AUAGCUAGACAAGUGCUUCUCACGAUCCAGC
rnacentral:piRNA from 1 species